rnacentral:rRNA from 1 species
CAGUAGCCGCGGGAAUACGAAGGGUGCAAGCGUUACUCGGAAUUACUGGGCGUAAAGCGUGCGUAGGUGGCGUGUUAAGUCGAAUGUGAAAGCCCCGGGCUCAACCUGGGAAUGGCAUCCGAUACUGGCAGGCUAGAGUUCGAUAGAGGGUAGUGGAAUUCCAGGUGUAGCGGUGAAAUGCGUAGAGAUCUGGAGGAACAUCAGUGGCGAAGGCGGCUACCUGGAUCAGAACUGACACUGAGGCACGAAAGCGUGGGGAGCAAACAGGAUUAGAUACCCCAGUAGUCCCUGUCUCUUAUAC